AGCACUGCCCAGAAGUUUGUCACUUCGAAUAUCGUUAAAAUCAUAUACCUCCAAAUUCAGGUUCUCUGAAAACGAAUUCAAAACGGAAUAAAAAGUUUCGUUGAAUACCGGCGAACCAGUGUUGUGAGCCACUUUAGAUUUACCAAUAACACGAUCCGCUGAAUUUUUUAUAACAACAUAUGGAUCAACAGCUCCACCUAAACCGUCUUUAAAACCAUCUCCCUUGCGUAACUUAAAUUCUACGGCUCCGAGAGCAGUAUUUAAGCCAGCGGCACCCAUCAUAGAUUCGAUAUCCAGCUCAUACACAUUGGGACUGUACAUCAUUGGGCCCAACGUGUUAUGUAUCUGUUCGGUGAUAAACGUAGUAAGACCCGGAAUGUUGCCAAUAUCAAAACC